UUUGAUCCUGGCUCAGGACGAACGCUGGCGGCGUGCUUAACACAUGCAAGUCGAACGGAAAGGCCCUGCUUUUGUGGGGUGCUCGAGUGGCGAACGGGUGAGUAACACGUGAGUAACCUGCCCUUGACUUUGGGAUAACUUCAGGAAACUGGGGCUAAUACCGGAUAGGAGCUCCUGCUGCAUGGUGGGGGUUGGAAAGUUUCGGCGGUUGGGGAUGGACUCGCGGCUUAUCAGCUUGUUGGUGGGGUAGUGGCUUACCAAGGCUUUGACGGGUAGCCGGCCUGAGAGGGUGACCGGCCACAUUGGGACUGAGAUACGGCCCAGACUCCUACGGGAGGCAGCAGUGGGGAAUAUUGCACAAUGGGCGGAAGCCUGAUGCAGCAACGCCGCGUGCGGGAUGACGGCCUUCGGGUUGUAAACCGCUUUCGCCUGUGACGAAGCGUGAGUGACGGUAAUGGGUAAAGAAGCACCGGCUAACUACGUGCCAGCAGCCGCGGUGAUACGUAGGGUGCGAGCGUUGUCCGGAUUUAUUGGGCGUAAAGGGCUCGUAGGUGGUUGAUCGCGUCGGAAGUGUAAUCUUGGGGCUUAACCCUGAGCGUGCUUUCGAUACGGGUUGACUUGAGGAAGGUAGGGGAGAAUGGAAUUCCUGGUGGAGCGGUGGAAUGCGCAGAUAUCAGGAGGAACACCAGUGGCGAAGGCGGUUCUCUGGGCCUUUCCUGACGCUGAGGAGCGAAAGCGUGGGGAGCGAACAGGCUUAGAUACCCUGGUAGUCCACGCUGUAAACGGUGGGUACUAGGUGUGGGGUCCAUUCCACGGGUUCCGUGCCGUAGCUAACGCUUUAAGUACCCCGCCUGGGGAGUACGGCCGCAAGGCUAAAACUCAAAGGAAUUGACGGGGCCCCGCACAAGCGGCGGAGCAUGCGGAUUAAUUCGAUGCAACGCGUAGAACCUUACCUGGGUUUGACAUGGAUCGGGAGUGCUCAGAGAUGGGUGUGCCUCUUUUGGGGUCGGUUCACAGGUGGUGCAUGGCUGUCGUCAGCUCGUGUCGUGAGAUGUUGGGUUAAGUCCCGCAACGAGCGCAACCCUUGUUCACUGUUGCCAGCACGUUAUGGUGGGGACUCAGUGGAGACCGCCGGGGUCAACUCGGAGGAAGGUGGGGAUGACGUCAAGUCAUCAUGCCCCUUAUGUCCAGGGCUUCACGCAUGCUACAAUGGCUGGUACAGAGAGUGGCGAGCCUGUGAGGGUGAGCGAAUCUCGGAAAGCCGGUCUCAGUUCGGAUUGGGGUCUGCAACUCGACCUCAUGAAGUCGGAGUCGCUAGUAAUCGCAGAUCAGCAACGCUGCGGUGAAUACGUUCCCGGGGCUUGUACACACCGCCCGUCAAGUCAUGAAAGUUGGUAACACCCGAAGCCGGUGGCCUAACCGUUGUGGGGGAGCCGUCGAAGGUGGGACUGGUGAUUAGGACUAAGUCGUAACAAGGUAGCCGUACCGGAAGGUGCGGCUGGAUCACCUUCNUU
rnacentral:rRNA from 1 species